AUACACAGACACACGCACCGUGGUUGAGGGCAAACAUCCUGUAAACACAGGCUACGCCAACUGCCAACAUGAGCAGGAGGAAGCAGCAGAACGCGAUGCUGAUCGCCUCUGUGGUGGUGAUGAAAAGCUCUGUGGAAGAGAGGGGACAAGGCCGGUGAAUCACGACACACUGUAGAGUGAGCAUUCUUGAUCUUGUCACCUGUGACUCGGACCAGCACAGCGACACUCUCCACCCAGGGCCCAGAGUCAUCGUAGCUGUCCCGGACCCUGCAGCGGUAAUACCCAGUCUCCUCUGAGGAAGAAGGACAGAGUCGUUCAAAAGCCAGGAGAUGUAAGGGAAGGUUCCUCUGCUGAACAGACAGCUCAGACUGGCGGCGGCCAGCCUGGAGUCGGCUCUGUAGAAAUACUCCACCUCCACUUUCACAUCACCUCCAACCGGCACUGGACAAACAGGGUGGAGAGAGAAAGAUCAAUGAAGAGGGGGAGAUCACAGUUUUCACCCGACAUCGCGCCACGCCCAUAUCCAGCCCAGGUACCAUGGCGACAGGGAACCAAGCGACGAGGGAUUCAGUCGCUGUGACGGAGUCAAUUUCCUUGUCAUCCACUGAAAGAGAGAAGUUGACCGGCGGACUCCCUCUUGAUGACCAGCAGGUGACGUUGCCACGUCGUCGCCUUGCAGCGGUAUGAUCCCUCGGAUGUUGCGGCGACCUUCAGAAAGAACGAUGCAGGUUGGUCUCCUUGGAGAUCAGUUCCUGUGGCAAUCGGGACACCACCAUCCCCCAUCAGCUCAUAGGUGAUUGGCGGAGAGGAGUCGGAUACAAUACACCGGAAAGCCACCCUCGAGCUGAGGUAGGCCAUGUGAGGGCCAGUCAGGACUGGGUGAAGGUCGAUUGACCCACCUAAAGAAAGACAUGAAAUAGUAGAAAUAGUUUGACUCCACCUCUGAAAUAUAACUGUUACACAUUUUAAUUAGACUAGGGGUAGAUAAAGCCACUGAAUUUCUACUUUUCCCAAGGAGUGUUAUCAGAUCAAAGAUUUAUUUCUUUACCUUUCUUUAGUACGUAUUAUAUAUAAGGACAAACAAAAGAUCUCAGAAAACUGAACUCAGUACCUCAAGCACCACUUACUUAUGUUGAUGAACAAACUUGCCAGAGCUGAAAGGAAAAUCAACAACACAUUGCAGUAAGAAUAUUGGUCCAUUCAAUAUAUAUAUUUUAAAUAGAAUUUUGCUAACUCACCCAAAAUUGGCGCGAAAUUAAGAGUCUGUAGAUUCUUCAUAACAGUGCUGUUUUAAUCUUUGACAUGCUUUCUCUAGCUUGGUUGUCUGUGUGUGUAUGCAUGAAUCCAUGUGUGUGUGUGUGUCAGGGAUAGGGGUGUUACACAUGUGUUGCGAGUAGAUAAUAUAUUAGGCCACGUGUUUGGUACAUUUGAGACAAAUAAUGUUUUAAAAAAUGCACAAACCACACAGGUUUUAUGGAGCAUGUAGAAGUGGACAUUUUGGAACAUAAUUAGAAAUAUUGUUUUCAUUCUUCAUUUACACUGAAAAACAUGGAACCAGACUUAACACACUCAACCACCAACGUGACAUAAUCCUCACAAUUUACACAAAUAAACACAUCACAUGAAAUAAGAGAACUCUAUUUGCUGUAAAACAUAACAUUUGUACAUCAUGUAACUGUAAAAGAGAGAGUUCAUCAGUCUUUUUACUUUCUUUCUUUAUUUACAGGCAGCUCCAGGCUUUAUUAUUGAGUGAAAGUCUGUGGACUGAAAGGCCUGAUGGCUCGGGCACUUUAAUCGGCUUCAUUUUCUGGAGGAGGAGGAGGCGGGCGGCUCGUCUUGCCAGCGACUGAUGGCGCCGCGUCCUCUCUGAAGGAUGCAGAACGCAACCUGCGGAGUUCCCUCUGAAGUCUGAGCAUUGUGGUGUGCUGUCUCACCAGGAAACGCUUAUCUGAACUACUCUGUGAGGGAGGAACACAUACAGAUUUUUACACACAACAUGCACACACACAGUAGAAAAGCAUGACACACUCGUAGACCCCAGAAUAAAUCAGCCAUGUGUAACUCA